rnacentral:rRNA from 1 species
CGGAGUUAGCCGGUGCUUAUUCCUGAGGUACCGUCAGAAUCCUUCCCUCAGAAAAGGAUUUUACGAUCUUUCGACCUUCAUCAUCCACGCGGUAUUGCUUCGUCAGGGUUUCCCCCAUUGCGAAAGAUUCCUU